CAGCAGCCGCGGUAAUACGGAGGGUGCAAGCGUUAAUCGGAAUUACUGGGCGUAAAGCGCACGCAGGCGGUCUGACAAGUCAGAUGUGAAAUCCCCGGGCUUAACCUGGGAACUGCAUUUGAAACUGUCAGGCUGGAGUCUUGUAGAGGGGGGUGGAAUUCCAGGUGUAGCGGUGAAAUGCGUAGAGAUCUGGAGGAAUACCGGUGGCGAAGGCGGCCCCCUGGACAAAGACUGACGCUCAGGUGCGAAAGCGUGGGGAGCAAACAGGAUUAGAUACCCGGGUAGUCCCUGUCUCUUAUAC
rnacentral:rRNA from 1 species